UACAGAGGUCUCAAGCGUUGUUCGGAUUUAUUGGGCGUAAAGGGUGCGUAGGUGGUUCGGCAAGUCUUGUGUGAAAUCUUCAGGCUCAACUUGAAGUCUGCACAAGAAACUGCCGGGCUUGAGUAUGGGAGAGGUGAGUGGAAUUUCCGGUGUAGCGGUGAAAUGCGUAGAUAUCGGAAGGAACACCUGUGGCGAAAGCGGCUCACUGGACCAUUACUGACACUGAGGCACGAAAGCUAGGGGAGCAAACAGG
rnacentral:rRNA from 1 species